ensembl:lncRNA
CACUGGGACAGAGAGUGUCCAUCAAGGAAAAAGAAAAUAGUGAGAGAUGUUGAUUAGCAUGAAUGCUGCCAGAGGUUAUGGAGCAGAUGAUGAACGAGGCAGUGGAACGAGACAAGAGGACUCGAGUGUGCUCUGUCAGGAGAAUACCUGAAUGGUAAUCAAGUGUAAUUGAUUUAGUUUGUUUGUUUGUUUGUUUUCCCAAUCUCGAAACAGGAAAUUCCCUCUUGACGGUGCUGAACUGUCAUUAAUAAGUAACUGCGGAAGGGGGGAGUAGGGAAUUACCUAACAGUAAUCAAGUGUAAAUGCCUUUCCUUUGUUUAUUUCUUUGUUUGUGUUCACAGAUUCUCUAGUAUUCGGGGCUCUGAGGAAGGGUUUUACUGUGCAGUGGCCACCAGCAGACGGUCAGUUGAUGUCAAUCAAGUGGUGGGCUCUGCACUGCAGUGUUAUGCACCGUACACCAGGGGACAGUCAGUGAUCUCUGACUUGAGCUCAGCAUGGGAGGUCUGCAGAAGAGGACCCAGGAGAAGGACAGUGGAGGAGGACG